UACGUAGGGGGCAAGCGUUGUCCGGAAUUAUUGGGCGUAAAGAGCGCGUAGGCGGCGUGUCGCGUCGGGAGUGAAAGCCCGCUGCUUAACGGCGGGUUGGCUUCCGGUACGGGCAUGCUGGAGUGUGGCAGGGGAGACUGGAAUUCCUGGUGUAGCGGUGGAAUGCGCAGAUAUCAGGAGGAACACCGGUGGCGAAGGCGGGUCUCUGGGCCAUUACUGACGCUGAGGAGCGAAAGCGUGGGGAGCGAACAGG
rnacentral:rRNA from 1 species